UACGAAGGGGGCUAGCGUUGCUCGGAAUUACUGGGCGUAAAGGGCGCGUAGGCGGAUAGUUUAGUCAGAGGUGAAAGCCCAGGGCUCAACCUUGGAAUUGCCUUUGAUAUCUGGCUGUCUUGAGUAUGGGAGAGGUGAGUGGAACUCCGAGUUGUAGGGGUGAAAUUCGUAGAUAUUCGGAAGAACACCAGUGGCGAAGGCGACUCACUGGCCCAUUACUGGACGCUGAGGCGCGAAAGCGUGGGAAGCAAACAGG
rnacentral:rRNA from 1 species